GACGAACGCUGGCGGCGUGCUUAACACAUGCAAGUCGAACGGAAAGGCCUGCUUUCCCUUGUGGAUUGCGGGUACUCGAGUGGCGAACGGGUGAGUAACACGUGAGUGAUCUGCCCCCAACUUGGGUAUAAGCCUGGGAAACUGGGUCUAAUUCCCGAUAGGACUGCAGGGUGGUGCCUGUGGUGGAAAACGAUUUUCUAGUGGUUGGGGAUGAGCUCGCGGCCUAUCAGCUUGUUGGUGGGGUAAUGGCCUACCAAGGCGGCGACGGGUAGCCGGCCUGGGAGGGUGGACGGCCACAUUGGGACUGAGAUACGGCCCAGACUCCUACGGGAGGCAGCAGUGGGGAGUAUUGCACAAUGGGCGGAAGCCUGAUGCAGCGACGCCGCGUGGGGGAUGACGGGCUUCGGGUUGUAAACUCCUUUCGACCGCGAGGAAGCCACCUGGUUGGAAGGGUGGUGACGGUAGUGGUAGAAGAAGCACCGGCUAACUACGUG
rnacentral:rRNA from 1 species